AAGAGGGAGAACCUAGCCAAACUAAGUCCAUCUCUUCAUUCUUAUGAAUUUCAGUGUUAUUUUGAUUAAAAGGAUGAUGCUAAGUUUAAGUAGCCUUAUUAACCAUGUCAAGAGAGGUUAAUUUGAAGACUUGAUUGUCGUCAAGGCUGGGUUUUGGAUGGAGAAAGCUAAGGAAACUCUUGGAGAAGGAGCUAGUAAAGGAAAGACUAAAGUGGUAGAUUGAUAGCUUGAAAGAUGGGAAUUGGUAUUUUGGAAGCUUAAUCAAGUUACCAGAAAUCCAUGGCACUAGUGAAAGUGCAAGUGUCAGAAGACUGAUAAAGUGAGGAAGAGGUGACAAUCACUGCAGGUUGCAGAAGCUGAAAGUUGAGUGCAUCUUUGGGAACUGGCAAAGACUUGCUGUUGUUUGAAGCCCCCACUGAUUUUAAAAUGUACCAACCAAAAGUGAAAACAAAGGAUGAAUGAUUUUAAAAUCUGUCAAUGCUGGAGAUUAGCUCUACUGUUUUUUUCUUUCUUUUUUCAAUCUAUUUCUGCAAUUUUCUCUUCUUUCCUUUGAUGUUCUAUUGCUUCUGCCUAGAUUUUGGCAUGUUGGUAGCAAAUUUUCCCAACUUUAAUUAUAUGUCCUUGUACCAUAGUGUGAAGUGCAGUUUGGUCCUAGAUUUUGUGACAAAUGGGAAAAAAACUGUUAAUUUUACUAGGUGGAGUAGCAUUUUUAAGUGAGGGAUAUGGCAUAUUCAGUCAACUAAUUAUAAGAUAACCCGGACCCUUGUAGUUAACCUAUACGUAUGAAAUAAAGUCGAGUUAAAUGCAAUGAUUUUAAGGCACAUGAGGUGGAAAGAAGACAGAUACACAAAAUUAGCAAAAAUGUAGAUGGACCAAAAAUGAAUUCCGUACUAUAGACCUUCUUUUACCCAAAUUUUCAUGCUUUUUUUGAAGGCAGUGUUGAUCCAAAACCAAACAGAACAGAAAACUGAAACUGAAACUGAAAACAGAAGAGGACCAAGACAAGGUAGGGCAGGGGAUGGAAAGCUGAAAGUUGAAAUGUUGAAUUACAAGGGACAUUUUAUGGUUAGCACAAGUUAUUCUGAGGGAAUCAAAUAAAGAAAAGAUGAUGUAUUGCAAUCUUCCAAUGUCAUUGAUUUUAUCUUUAUCUAACAUAUUAAAGUUGGUUUGGUUUUUUUUUCCCCCUCACCUGUCACCAAGCAAAACCCUUUGCUUUAUUUCACUGUGUUCCAUAGAUUCUCUUGAAACAUCCCUGGU